rnacentral:lncRNA from 1 species
GCUUCAGUUCCCCGGCACAGGGCUCGCUGCUCAUUACAACAGCCCUGACUAGAAGCUCACGGGGCGAGGAGGACGACGAUGCCUCAUUCCCAGUGAAGGGGAAGGGGUGCAGAGCCCGUGCUGCCUCUGGAGUAUUUGAAGACCCUCAGUAGGGAUUAGAGCUCCACCGUACAACAGAACAUCAACAUCUGGAAAAUCACAGUAAAGCAGUAACGGUGUUGACAAAAGAACUCCUGCAGGCCAUCUUGUUGAGGCUCCUGCUUGAAGCAGAGCUAUCAGCAACAAUUGGUCAGCCGUCAGUUUGUUUAUGUGAGUCCUGGAAACCUUCAAAGAGGAAGAUCCUGCUCCUUCUAUGUUUAAAAGUGACACACCACUCUAAAGUACAGAAUGAUAUUCCUGAAAGCUGAAAUAAAUAGCAAUUCAGCAAGACCUUUAAUAUGAUCUAUGCUGCUUGAGAUCACUGUACUAUUGGCAAAGAACAGGAGCAAACUUGACAAAUAAUUUUGCAGCUUCUUUUAAAGAUAUGAAAUGACAAAAGCCUUUUCAGCAUUUUCAG